UUUGACGUGGCAAAUCUCUUUUUCAAUCAAUUGCGCAAAUAGAUUUCGUCUAGUGAUCAAUGCGGCUGCAACUAGUCCAUUUCAUCUAUUCAGAGAGAGCUGAGAUUUUAGAAUAUUUAAUAAUUUUAAUGUGUCCAGUAACAGUGCAAGAAGAUUUACAUGGUAAAAAUAGACAUUCACAGCACCCUCAGAUUAUACCAAAAGUGUCAGCAAUUAGUUUAACAGAUCAGUUUCAGUUGAGACACUGCAUCAUUGCUUCAUUUUAUGGGCGAAAUUAGGUCCAGAGACUCCAACAUCUGAGCACCACAAAAAGUGGAUAGAAGCAAUAAAAAAAUUUAAAUCCAUGUAAUUUGUAAAUCCUGCUGGGAAAGUAUAUGCAUAUGUUCCCAUUGUAAAUAAUUGGGUAUGGACACUAGAAGCAAUUGAAGUCUGACUAAAAAAAAACCUAAUUUAUUAUGUUACAUCUGUCUGGUUGCGGCACUUAAACCAAGACCCAUUAGAAAAUGGCGCUAUUCGAAGCCUUGGGUGUCGUAACAACAACUCAACUUAUGAUCAGUUUGAAAACUCCUAUGCCACCUUAGUGGUUAUUAAUUUGAACUGUGGCUACAUCCAUGGAAAAAAUUGUGACUUCUGAGAAAAGGGGACUUCUGUGAUGCACUACCUACAUUAUUAAUCACAGAAAAUAUUGACACCAAGUUGACUGAAACUCUGGACUUUUGGACUUUAUAGACAUGGAGCUAGUUUCCAUUCAGGAAUUAGGAAAUAAUCCUACUAUUAUGGCACCCCUGAAAUAUGUAAAUGGUUAUUCUUUUAAAAAAACUGAUAAGUAAAAUCUUCAAGUAAUGCCAUAUAUGCACAAGUAUGGCACCAGAAGGCCAUGAGAGCAUAUAUAUUAAAUUCCGAGAGUAUGCAGGUUGACGUUGGCUUUGCUAUCCCAGCAGUGAUUUUAAUAAAUCAUAUUUUUAUGAAAUCCUAAAAAAGAAUAUUUAUAGGAAAUUGCUUAAGGAAUAUUUAAAAACUGCUGUAUUAACCAUAGCCAAUUUUAAUGUACCAUUCACCCGUUGUACAGAACACCGAGAAAAAAAUAUUGAUUUCAUAAUAAAUCUAGUUAAUAAGAUUUAUGAUUUAUAAUUAUUGUAAUAAUAUAAAUAAAAUAAUAACGGGUAAAAUAAAAACUUACGAUGUAAAGAACCAUUUUCAAUUAAAAGCAAAACUUGAUGAUAGUGGUUCUUAAUUUCUGUUUUUGGCUAUUUUCGUUGUGAUUUUGUAGGGUGUAAUUUUUUUGUCUUUUGAAAUAAACGAUUGUUAAAUUUUA